GAUGAACGCUGGCGGCGUGCCUAAUACAUGCAAGUCGAACGCAUUGAGAGAAGUGCUUGCACUUUUCAAUUUGAGUGGCGAACGGGUGAGUAACACGUGGGCAACCUACCUGAUAGCGGGGGAUAACGAGUGGAAACAUUCGCUAAUACCGCAUAACAAUAGAGAAGGCAUCUUCUUUAUUUAAAAGGCGCUUUCAAGCGUCACUAUCAGAUGGGCCCGCGGUGCAUUAGUGAGUUGGUGGGGUGAAGGCCUACCAAGAAGAUGAUGCAUAGCCGAGUUGAGAGACUGAUCGGCCACAUUGGGACUGAGACACGGCCCAAACUCCUACGGGAGGCUGCAGUAGGGAAUCUUCCACAAUGGACGAAAGUCUGAUGGAGCAACGCCGCGUGUGUGAUGAAGGCUUUCGGGUCGUAAAGCACUGUUGUAUGGGAAGAAAUGCUAGGCUAGGAAAUGAGCUUAGUUUGACGGUACCAUACCAGAAAGGGACGGCUAAAUACUUGCCAGCCGCCGCCGUAA
rnacentral:rRNA from 1 species